rnacentral:rRNA from 1 species
GGACGCCUAACACAUGCAAGUCGAACGAGAGAUGAGGAGCUUGCUCUUCAAAUCGAGUGGCGAACGGGUGAGUAACGCGUGAGGAACCUGCCUCAAAGAGGGGGACAACAGUUGGAAACGACUGCUAAUACCGCAUAAGCCCACAGCUCGGCAUCGAGCAGAGGGAAAAGGAGUGAUCCGCUUUGAGAUGGCCUCGCGUCCGAUUAGCUGGUUGGUGAGGUAACGGCCCACCAAGGCAACGAUCGGUAGCCGGACUGAGAGGUUGAACGGCCACAUUGGGACUGAGACACGGCCCAGACUCCUACGGGAGGCAGCAGUGGGGAAUAUUGCACAAUGGGGGAAACCCUGAUGCAGCGACGCCGCGUGGAGGAAGAAGGUCUUCGGAUUGUAAACUCCUGUUGUUGAGGAAGAUAAUGACGGUACUCAACAAGGAAGUGACGGCUAACUACGUGCCAGCAGCCGCGGUAAAACGUAGGUCACAAGCGUUGUCCGGAAUUACUGGGUGUAAAGGGAGCGCAGGCGGGAGAACAAGUUGGAAGUGAAAUCCAUGGGCUCAACCCAUGAACUGCUUUCAAAACUGUUUUUCUUGAGUAGUGCAGAGGUAGGCGGAAUUCCCGGUGUAGCGGUGGAAUGCGUAGAUAUCGGGAGGAACACCAGUGGCGAAGGCGGCCUACUGGGCACCAACUGACGCUGAGGCUCGAAAGUGUGGGUAGCAAACAGGAUUAGAUACCCUGGUAGUCCACACCGUAAACGAUGAUUACUAGGUGUUGGAGGAUUGACCCCUUCAGUGCCGCAGUUAACACAAUAAGUAAUCCACCUGGGGAGUACGACCGCAAGGUUGAAACUC